rnacentral:rRNA from 1 species
GACGAACGCUGGCGGCGUGCUUAACACAUGCAAGUCGAACGGAAACGCCGUGCUGUUUUGGGGUUCUCGAGUGGCGAACGGGUGAGUAACACGUGAGUAACCUGCCCUUCAUUUUCGUAUGACUUCAGGUAACUGGGGUUACUACCGGACAGGAGCUCCUGCUGCAUGGUGGGGGUUGGAAAGUUGCGGCGGGUGGGGAUGGACUCGCGGCUUACGAGCUAGCUGGUUGGGUAGUGGCUUACCAAGGCUUUGACGGGUAGCCGGCCUGAGAGGGUGACCGGCCACAUUGGGACUGAGGUAGGGCCCAGACUGCAACAGUAGGCAACAGUGGGGAAUAUUGCACAGUGGGAGGAAGCGUGAUGCAGCGGCGCCGCGUGCGUGAUGACUGCUUUCGGGUUGUAAACCGCAUUAGCCUAUGACGAAGCGUGUGUGACGGUAAUGGGUAAAGAAGCACCGGCUAACUACGUG